ACACACACACACACACACAAAUACCCACAGUCGCACAACCCAGGGAGAGUCACCAUCAUCGCCGUUGAACUGCUUCUCUCUCUCUCUUUCUCUCUCCCCUGCUCGCGGUGCCGGAGUACGCCGAGCAUCUCCGGCGAAUUUUAGCUUGUUUUCCGGUUGGGUUUUGGAGUGUUUUUGGCAAGGGUGGAGGUACACCCAAUUUUCCGGCGAGUGCGUGUUUUCCGAGGGAUUUUCGGGCCACCACAAGCCGUUACACGGCGAACCCAAGGUGCGAUUCUUAGCGG